AGAGUUUGAUCCUGGCUCAGGAUGAACGCUAGCGGCAGGCCUAAUACAUGCAAGUCGAGGGGCAGCACGGUAGCAAUACUGGUGGCGACCGGCGCACGGGUGCGUAACACGUAUACAAUCUGCCUUUAACAGGGGGAUAGCCUUUCGAAAGAGAGAUUAAUACCCCAUAAUACUAGAACAAGCAUUUGUUUUAGUUAAAAGCUCCGGCGGUUAAAGAUGAGUAUGCGUCUGAUUAGCUAGUUGGUGAGGUAACGGCUCACCAAGGCGACGAUCAGUAGGGGAUCUGAGAGGACUACCCCCCACACGGAUACUGAGACACGGAUCCGACUCCUACGGGAGGCAGCAGUAAGGAAUAUUGGACAAUGCCCGCAAGGGUGAUCCAGCCAUGCCGCGUGCAGGAAGAAGGCGCUAUGCGUCGUAAACUGCUUUUACACCAAAGAAAACCCUCCUACGUGUAGGAGGCUGAUAGUACGGUGAGAAUAAGCAUCGGCUAACUUCGUGCCAGCAGCCGCGGUAAGACGAAGGAUGCAAGCGUUAUCCGGAUUCAUUGGGUUUAAAGGGAGCGUAGGCGGCCUUAUAAGUCAGUGGUGAACUCUCCUCGCUUAACGAGGAAAUUGCCAUUGAUACUGUAGGGCUUGAGUACAGUUGCCGUUGGCGGAAUAUGACAUGUAGUGGUGAAAUACAUAGAGAUGUCAUAGAACACCGAUUGCGAAGGCAGCUAACGAAGCUGUAACUGACGCUGAGGCUCGAAAGUGCGGGGAUCAAACAAGGAUUAGAUACCCCUGUAGUCCGCACUGUAACGAUGAUUACUCGCUGCUGGGAUGGUAACAUUCAGUGUCUUAGCGAAAGCGAUAGUACUCCACCUGGAGUAGUACGCCGGCCACGAUGAAACUCGAAGGUAUUUGAACGGGGCGUCCGCACUAGGCGUGCAGCCAUUGUUGCUUUUAGUUCCGAUGAAUACACGCGGAAGGGAAAAUCC
rnacentral:rRNA from 1 species